CACCAGCAAGAGAUCAUCAGCGACAUGCCCAUGGCCACCGACUUCAGGUCCUGCUGGCCAGAAAUAUUGGAUAUUGGAGAGAUCCAUGCAGAGUUGACGCGUUACCACUAUGCCACUGCAGUUAAAGUUUCUUUCCCAGCUGGACCUUCACUGUGAUGACCUGGUGAAAAUCUUCCAGAAGAGGGGAGGGCAAACCGCAAGAAAACUGCAGUCAGUGGAUUUCACUGCAGCUCAGGUGCAGCUCAGCAAACGGCCAUGGGGAUAAAGCUCUAUGACGAUGGACAAUAUGGACGUUCACAUUGUGUGAGAAGGUGUUGGAAGUUCUUGGUGAUCUUGCCUGUGGCUCUGGCUGUAGUGAGGCUUUUUGUUUUGGAAUUAUCUCGCCCAGAAAAAUCUGUGUUUGAAAGAAGUCUGUAGUGAGGCCUCACACACACUUUACUUUAGUGUGACCUUUACCAUCUAGUAACUUGGCCUGCUUCUUGGAGAUCUUGACUGUGUGGCUCUGGCUUUAGUGA